rnacentral:rRNA from 1 species
UACAGAGGUCCCAAGCGUUGUCCGGAUUUACUGGGCGUAAAGCGAACGCAGGCGGGCCUUUAAGUAGGAAGUGAAAGGUUGGAGCUUAACUCUAACACUGCUCCCUAUACUGGAGGCCUUGAGUUUCGGAGAGGAAGACGGAACUGCAGGUGUAGCGGUGAAAUGCGUUGAUAUCUGCAGGAACACCAAUGGCGAAAGCAGUCUUCUGGACGAAUACUGACGCUCAGGUUCGAAAGCCAAGGUAGCAAACAGG